UGUGGGAGCGGGCUUGCCCGCGAUGAGGCCAUACCCGUCUAUCGAUGUCGACUGGCCUACCGCUAUCGCGGGCAAGCCCGCUCCCACA
rnacentral:misc_RNA from 1 species